AUUGAACGCUGGCGGCAUGCCUUACACAUGCAAGUCGAACGGCAGCACGGGUGCUUGCACCUGGUGGCGAGUGGCGAACGGGUGAGUAAUACAUCGGAACAUGUCCUGUAGUGGGGGAUAGCCCGGCGAAAGCCGGAUUAAUACCGCAUACGAUCUACGGAUGAAAGCGGGGGACCUUCGGGCCUCGCGCUAUAGGGUUGGCCGAUGGCUGAUUAGCUAGUUGGUGGGGUAAAGGCCUACCAAGGCGACGAUCAGUAGCUGGUCUGAGAGGACGACCAGCCGCACUGGGACUGAGACACGGCCCAGACUCCUACGGGAGGCAGCAGUGGGGAAUUUUGGACAAUGGGCGAAAGCCUGAUCCAGCAAUGCCGCGUGUGUGAAGAAGGCCUUCGGGUUGUAAAGCACUUUUGUCCGGAAAGAAAUCCUUGGCUCUAAUACAGUCGGGGGAUGACGGUACCGGAAGAAUAAGCACCGGCUAACUACGUG
rnacentral:rRNA from 1 species